rnacentral:rRNA from 1 species
AGUGAACGCUGGCGGUAGGCCUAACACAUGCAAGUCGAACGGCAGCACAGGAGAGCUUGCUCUCUGGGUGGCGAGUGGCGGACGGGUGAGGAAUACAUCGGAAUCUACUCUGUCGUGGGGGAUAACGUAGGGAAACUUACGCAAAUACCGCAUACGACCUACGGGUGAAAGCAUGGGAUCUUCGGACCUUGCGCGAUUGAAUGAGCCGAUGUCGGAUUAGCUAGUUGGCGGGGUAAAGGCCCACCAAGGCGACGAUCCGUAGCUGGUCUGAGAGGAUGAUCAGCCACACUGGAACUGAGACACGGUCCAGACUCCUACGGGAGGCAGCAGUGGGGAAUAUUGGACAAUGGGCGCAAGCCUGAUCCAGCCAUACCGCGUGGGUGAAGAAGGCCUUCGGGUUGUAAAGCCCUUUUGUUGGGAAAGAAAUCCAGCUGGCUAAUACCCGGUUGGGAUGACGGUACCCAAAGAAUAAGCACCGGCUAACUUCGUGCCAGCCGCCGCCGUAA